CAAGCUAAUAAUAAUGAAGCCUCUGUGCUCUUAAUGUUUCCAGGUAUGCCUUCAGCGGGAACAAUAUGCCCACCAUGGUGCCGAUCCCCAACGCCAACGUAGAGUUCGGCACGGCCAAUCAGAUGAGCAGGAACGACAUCAGCAGACUGAACACGCUGUACAAAUGUUGAAAGGUGGUGAAGAAACCCUGAGGACAUGGGGCCAAUUUACACAUCAAACCAGCUCUUUAUAACACAGUCUGAGAAAGUGUGUUGAUAAUGAAUCUUCAAACAUG